rnacentral:rRNA from 1 species
CCUACGGGAGGCAGCAGUAAGGAAUAUUGGUCAAUGGAGGCAACUCUGAACCAGCCAUGCCGCGUGCAGGAAGACAGCCCUCUGGGUCGUAAACUGCUUUUAUUCGGGAAUAAACCUUAUUACGUGUAAUAAGCUGAAUGUACCGAAGGAAUAAGGAUCGGCUAACUCCGUGCCAGCAGCCGCGGUAAUACGGAGGAUCCAAGCGUUAUCCGGAUUUAUUGGGUUUAAAGGGUGCGUAGGCGGCUUAUUAAGUCAGGGGUGAAAGACGGUGGCUCAACCAUCGCAGUGCCUUUGAUACUGAUGAGCUUGAAUGAACUAGAGGUAGGCGGAAUGUGACAAGUAGCGGUGAAAUGCAUAGAUAUGUCACAGAACACCGAUUGCGAAGGCAGCUUACUAUGGUUUUAUUGUACGCUGAGGCACGAAAGCGUGGGGAUCAAACAGGAUUAGAUACCCUGGUAGUCCACGCCCUAAACGAUGAAUACUCGCUGUUAGCGAUAUACAGUUAGCGGCUAAGCGAAAGCGUUAAGUAUUCCACCUGGGGAGUACGCCCGCAGGUGAAACUCAAAUGAAUUGACGGCUGAGAGAGACGACGACGACGACGAGGGAGGAGG